rnacentral:rRNA from 1 species
AUUGAACGCUGGCGGCAGGCCUAACACAUGCAAGUCGAGCGGAUGAAGGGAGCUUGCUCCUGGAUUCAGCGGCGGACGGGUGAGUAAUGCCUAGGAAUCUGCCUGGUAGUGGGGGAUAACGUCCGGAAACGGGCGCUAAUACCGCAUACGUCCUGAGGGAGAAAGUGGGGGAUCUUCGGACCUCACGCUAUCAGAUGAGCCUAGGUCGGAUUAGCUAGUUGGUGGGGUAAAGGCCUACCAAGGCGACGAUCCGUAACUGGUCUGAGAGGAUGAUCAGUCAAAUGGGAACUGGGAAACGGCCCAGACCCCCAGGGGGGGCAGCAGGGGGGAAUAUGGGACAAUGGGGGAAAGCCUGAUCCAGCCAGGCCGGGGGUGUGAAGAAGGGUUUCGGAUGGUAAAGCACUUUAAGUUGGGAGGAAGGGCAGUAAGUUAAAACCUGGCUGUUUGGACGUUACCAACAGAAAAAGCACCGGCAAAUUUCGU